rnacentral:rRNA from 1 species
GAUGAACGCUGGCGGCGUGCUUAACACAUGCAAGUCGAACGGAAAGGCCCAAGCUUGCUUGGGUACUCGAGUGGCGAACGGGUGAGUAACACGUGGGUGAUCUGCCCUGCACUUCGGGAUAAGCCUGGGAAACUGGGUCUAAUACCGGAUAGGACGAUGGUUUGGAUGCCAUUGUGGAAAGUUUUUUCGGUGUGGGGUGAGCUCGCGGCCUAUCAGCUUGUUGGUGGGGUAAUGGCCUACCAAGGCGUCGACGGGUAGCCGGCCUGAGAGGGUGUACGGCCACAUUGGGACUGAGAUACGGCCCAGACUCCUACGGGAGGCAGCAGUGGGGAAUAUUGCACAAUGGGCGCAAGCCUGAUGCAGCGACGCCGCGUGGGGGAUGACGGCCUUCGGGUUGUAAACUCCUUUCGCUAGGGACGAAGCGUUUUUGUGACGGUACCUGGAGAAGAAGCACCGGCUAACUACGU